UAGUGGGCAAUAAUGUGCAGCUAGGAGAAAACGUUGUAUAAUUAUACAUAAUGAAAACUAUAAAUUUUCAAAAAUCUAUAGUUAAUAUAUUAUGUAUAAUUAUAGAUUUUCAAUACUAGCAGUGUAUAUCAAAACGUGGCUACUAUUUAUUUAAAUUUAAAUAUUUGUAUAAUCUUUUUAAGAAUACGAGUCCAACCAAUAGGUUUACUUUCAACAAUUAUUGGAGUUUGUUUCUGAUUAUAAUCAAGACUAGAUAAUCGAGGAUAAACUUGAUUAGGUUACCAGCUGCCGAUUUUCUCCUUAAAGAAGGACAGGACAGGAUCUCAAUUUUUCGAUUAUCAAAUGUUACUCUCACUCAAAUAGAUCACUACUAAUCAUCAGAUUGUGGCAGAGUCAAAGUCAUCGUAACAUUGGCCCGUGACUACCGCUCACUUUUUAGAAAAAAUACGUGUCUGUGCUCACUUACGUUUCGAUAAUGUCGCAUGAAGGCUUCGUGACAGAACAUCGAAUAACUGUCGGGUAAAUCAAUGUGCGCGUCUCUCGGCUGUGAUCCGUGACGAUUGCAUGGUAUGUAAUAUAUAUCAUAUCAAAAUGCAUAUGGGAAUGUCAAGAGAAGUGUAUCUUAUGUAAAGUAUAUUAAUAGUAGCAA